CAAAAACCAACAGCUUUCACAUGCAGCGUAAUUUUGUCAUUGCCCAAAGUUGGAUAUUUCAGCCCACUUCGAACUUGAGAAAACACCUUGGGACGUGGUCCCGCUUCCUCCCUGGGUGAUUUGUGGCUGUUCAGCAGACGGCAGGUUACUUAUCAAGCGGGGCCAGGUUCAGGGGCCCCAAAAUGAGAUGAGAAUCACACCUCACGCUGCACGGAUCAUUUCAGGGCAGCGCACGGGGCCCCCGGACCUGAGGACGCAGCCCGCGGCUAAGCUACCGUGGCACUGAACCCCCCCCCCCCUCUAUACCACAUCCCCUCCCUUCUUCAAUGGCCGCAUGUCCGCGUCAAAGCAGUAGAGGAGGAGUCAGGAUGCCUGGGCACUUUUAUCUAAAACCUCCCUAGAAGAGAGGCGAGGGGAAAAGGGCUCUUGUUGAUCCUUGGCUCCUGUAGUCAAUCAAUUAUUGGAUCAAAGCGGGCGGCGGGCCAAAGCUCUCCAGCACGGUGACGCCUGAGCCGCCACCUCGUCCACUCAGAGUGACAGGCGGUGGUGGGGGGGACGAAACUCCAGGGACGCCUCGUCUAAUCUGCUCAGGGACGACACUAACUUUGAGGGGAAGAGAUGAAGGCUGACACAGUCGACAAACAAUGCACGUCACAUACUCAAGGCCAAAUUUCAACAUCUGCUUUGGACUUCUAUUUUUUUUUUUUAUAGCGUUUGUCCUCAUGGGGGUCACGGGUGAGCUGGAGCCUAUCUCAGAUGACUUUGCAGCUACACCCUGGACUGGUUGCCAGUCAAUCACUGGCCACAACCAUUGACAUUCACAUUCACACCUGUAUAAAGUACAGUUGUGCCUUACCAGUUGAAUUAGUUGAAUUCAUAGAACGUAAAGUUUCAAACAGUUUCUGCAUUAAUUCUUUCCAGUAAUUUAUUGUGCUGCUCCUUCUGGUGUGUGUGCCCUGGCCACCAGGGGUUUGUAUAAUACAGACAUACUAAAUACACAAAGAAGACAGUCACACUAAAGUCAGUAAGUUGCAGUAAUAUUAAUUUUAUUUUGCAAAGUAUUAAGAAAACAUCCCUAUGAGUACUAUAAUAUUAUCUGUCUGCAUGUGUUGCUGCACCAUUUGUGUUCAAAUAGCCGUUGCUUAAAGCUUUAACUUCAGCGAGAUAGAUGGUAGUUUUGUUAGCUUGUCUACUGCAUUUGUAUUCUGUGUUUGCAUUAAACUGGUGGACUUUCAUAAGGCCAAGUUAUGUUUGGUUAAAUACACAACAUAAUUGUCUUUGAUUUAUGUUUAGUUUGACAGUUGAGCUUGACAGGCGCACACAGAGAAUAGACAAACAACCAUUCACACUCACAGGAAACCAGAGUACCUGGAGAAAAUCAUGCAGACCAUGUGCUUGACUUGAGAUUCAAACUCUUAACUACAAAACUGUGGGGGAGACAUGCUAACCUUUUGCCCACCAUACUGCUAAAUUUUAAAAAAUAAUAAUAAUUGUGCUAUUUAAAUUUAGUUUUAUAUUUUUUUUAUCAUGACUUCAUUCUAUUAAAAAUAUUUAUUGUUCUUAAACUUUUUGGGGAAACAUUAUGAUUGCAUUUUCAUAAAAUUAAAACUUAAUUCAAGAUGAUUUAUUUCAAGUUGAAGUGACCAAAUAAAGGUCCUUAAAUAAUGAAGAGAACACAUUUCACCUUUUGUCGUGGUAGGAAGCAUAUUUGUGGCUGUUCAGAAUUCAAAGUUUUCACCUGGCCAAUCAGUGAGAAAAAAAUAAUGAAAUACAUUUUGGAAACACUAAGACAAUAUAACUGAAUGGAGUAAAUUCAUUUCAUUUGAUGAGUAAAAUAAUGUAAGUUUAUUUUGAUACAUAUUUCCUGUAUUAGAUUUCUCAUCCUACAUAAAGUGUUGUUCAUUCUUGUGAUUGCC